CCACGAUGGACACCACCAAUAUUGAGGUUCCAGUCCCUCCGCAGCCAAGCAGGACAGCCCAACCCACGUGCUUAGGGACGGGCCAGCGGGGAUCACACUACUGCGCCUGCGCCCCUGCCCGCUUCUUGGCAGACGCGGCGGCGCAUGCGCAGCCCGGAAGGUCCUGCGUCCCUUAACCAGCUGAGAGCUAAAGGGUCGGGGCCUGAGGGAUGGAAGAGGGAGGGGAAGAUGAAGAAAAUCGGUGAUUAAUGGCUGGCGGAUAUGAUUGGCGGAAAGAAAGAGCCAGUCCACAGUGCGCCUUUGCAUUCGGCGGGAAACCCGGCCGAAGACUAAGCUGGAAAGCACUUCGAGUACAUCUGGUUGAAAGAGAAAAGGCAGAGAGAAAAGCAGACUUUUCGGAGAAGUUCUCAGGCACUAACAGAUUCAUCCCUUAUAGGCAUAUGAAUGGACAAUAAGAUUUCUUGGAUAUUUUCAUGGCGAAGGAUAAGAGUGAAGCUAUCCUGGCCAAGAACUUUGAGAGAGACACCACUUUUCACUCUGAAGGACCAAAAAAUGAGUAGAAAAUUUGGAAUAAAUGUCAACAAGAUUUGAAGCCUAAAGAAAAACAAGCAUCUGAAUUAGACAGACCUCCAUAUUCAUUCAGCUGGGAAACUAAAACUGUGCAGUCCCAAUAUCAGAAUUUCCUUGGUCAGUUGGCUACUGUGUGACAGUAUUCUUCUGCAUGACAGCAUUGUCUCUCUACCAACUACAGAGGAGGCUGGUAAAGAGAGGAUUCGGAAAAUUGGUGCAAAUAAGAAAUCUUGGAAAUCUUGAAAGAAGAGAAGAGGCUGUUCAUUAUUAUAUUGGAGGUAGUGCAGCAUGUUUAUUAAGAGCGCGGAGCCCCAGCAUGAAGCCUAGCUCUGCCAUUUGCCAGCUGUGUGCUCUUGGGCAGAUUACUUAUCCUCUCUGUGCCUCAUUUUCAUUUGUGAAGUGGGGGACGGUGUGUAGUUCCCACCUCACAGAGUGAUUGCAGGGUUAACACAUGAUAAAUGCUUAGUUUAGUAUAAGUUCAAUAAAAAUCAAAAUAGGCUGGGUGCA
ensembl:lncRNA